CAGCUACCUUUGUUCUCAUAGAUAUGAAUGAGUAGAUAGGACACGCCCCUUUGAGCUGCGUGCUACAGCGAGGCUAAGCUAGUGGGGGCAAAGUGUCAGUGCAUUCCGUUGAUGUAGACGGCGUGAAAACGGAAACAACAAGUAUGCCGUCUCACUGUGCUGCAUACAAUUACACACUACGUCGUACGAUUGAGACAAGGAAACGUGGAAUGACUUUUCAUAGGUUUCCCAGAGACUAUGGGUUGAGGAGGAAGUGGAAGUUUGUUGGCUUAGACCUGGUGUCAUUCCAUCAGUGUUAAACUUCCCGGCUCAUCUUGGAAGAGUACGUGCCAGAAAGACCACAACCAAGCAGCCUUGAGAUCUUAGGCAGCGUCUCCCUGAGGUCCCUCUCUAUCUCCCCACACAUCCACCAACCACUGGAACACAUCUCCAAAGUUCUACUGGACCAGCUCAGCUUCCCCUCAGAAGAAGUACCGCCACCUGCCAGAUGGAGGAGCCUUUUGAGAGGCAGCUGGCAUCGUGAUUGGACUGUACUUUGGUCUGUUCCAAUCCAGCUUCAGCUCCAGAGACGGCAGGCGGGACGAGUCAACGGAGGCCUGAUGGACGAAGGCAUGAAGCUGAGUACAAUCCAGAAAACAACAGAGGAGGAGUGCAGCAGCCCAGGACCAGAACAACCAGAGUAGCAUGACCAAAGAACUACAGACUCUUCACAACCUGCUCAAACUCUUGGUACAGGAUCUCACCACACGAGUCAAGAAGGUUUCUGUCUCAUUUCUACUCUGAAGCUCACCUUCUCCUGCUCAAGCUGAUGACAAAUGUUUCUGCUGCUCUAAAGUCUGCUCUCCAGAACUUCCUAAAAACUCUCAAAGUCUCUUCUGCUGCAGGUUGCUAUGUAGAACUGUUGCAGAAAACCUCACUAAACCACAUGGAGGGGCCUCAAGAUAGUCAUCCAAAUGAAACCAUACAAAAACCAAACUAGCACAACCCAAACGCUAAAGUCUCCUGCAGCCUACCAGAGAACCUCUGAGAACAGAGAAUCAGGACAGGAACUCUUACCUUCUGGACAACCAACGUUGGUUCACAAACAAGAAUACAGAAUGUGUCUGACCAAAAACCUCUGAAGACUCACUACAACCAAGAUAAAGACACAACUCAGCUGCACCAAAUCCACUAAUCACUACAAACAUUAGCACCAUGUGCUAACUGUGGCUAAAGAACCACAUUUACCAAGACAACUAUCCAGUACAAAGCCCUAAAACACACCAAGAAACACAUUAAAGACGAUUUUACUGCUGGAAGCUGCAAGCCAACGCCUAAACAACAAACUAAAGCAAUGGAGCCAAACCCAGUUCACUGGUGAACAGAAGCAGAGGAAAUGUUUGUCUGCAGCUAAAUAAAGCAGGAAGACACUGAGCUGCUCAGGUGUUCCUGGUAACACCAAGCUGCUCAGGUGUUCCUGAUAACACCAAGCAGCCACCUGGACAGCCAAUAGGAACACAGCUUCCUGGAAGUCCAGAGGGCUGGCUUAGUGAAGGAAAUUUAGUUUAAAGUUGAAGCAGAAAGUUAACAAAGAAAGUUAAAAACCACCUUCUGAUACCUGAAAUCUCUGAGUUUUCACACAAAGAACACCUGAACAUGUCAAACUGGUUCCAUAGUAGAACCAUCAUUGUAAAAACAUCAUAGUAUGGUGUGUUGCUCAAACAACAUUAGGACCCGGCUGUCAGGGGACAAACAUGUAAGAAACAUGAGAACAGAGAGAACCCAACCAGUAGGUCACAGUUUAUCAUCAUCUAAUCAUCUCCUGAAGUCCAUAUGGUGAGAGACAUCAGUAUCUGGUUGUUAAUUUACCAGAGGAUGCUUAUAAUCAUGCUGAUGUGGUCUGUACUCUACAGUAUUUUAGUGACUCAAUAAAUGCCUAAGUUGUUUUUUUUAAAAUGCUUUUUAGUUUUUAAUAAACAUUUAACAGCCUAUAUUUAAUCAAUAAAUGACCUUUGCCUAUCUUAAGAAAAAUUCACUCAGAACUCUGAUAUGUUAACAGUACUAAAUAAAUCAAUAAAUACAUGCAUACACACAUAAAUAAGUUAAUACAUUAACUGUGUUAAGAUAAGAUUUAGAUUUUUAAAAUGUUGUUUAUGUUUUUGCAGAAUCCAGUAUUGCUCACUGGUUGGUCAUUACAUUUUAUUAGUUUGAUUUCACUGUUUAAAAUGAUGCCACCUCUUUUCAGACAGAACCUGUGAUAAUAAAACAAUACAAAAUUUUUAGUUCCGUGUUAAUAAAGCACUUAAAGCUUUAAGUAUGGCUAAAUGCUUUUUUCAAAAUUAAAUAUAUCACUCCUUAGGUGGUAGUGGCCCCAAGUUCAGUAAAGUUGGAAAGAUAUUCACAGAUUGGGACUUCCAGCAUCAAUAACUCAUUAGAUAUAGGUUGUCAAAACAUAAACGGUGCCUCUUUCCCAUUGUUGCAAGGCAGACAAUGUGCUACAAGCCCAGUUUUAUCAAAAGUAGCUGUCUUUCAAGCUACAGGAAUAACAUUGGUGUCUAUGGAGUGAACAGGGUCCGUCUGCAAUUUGCAAAACCGCUGCAACAGUAAAGAGAGACAAAUAUUCAAUAACUUCACUCUGAUACAUUGUAGUGUCACUAAAAUCACUGCAGCCUUCAACUGGCUCCUGUUGACAAAGUGUUUUAACAGAAAUGUAAAUGCUGUAAUUUGAUUCUUUUAAUGAACCAUGUAACUUGAAUGGAUGUGAUGCUGGUGUGACCACAGUGCACACGUCUGAUGUUGCUCACAGUGGUCCAAGGGACGCUCAGGGAGUUUGUGUGUUUGCUCAGACUCAGGAAAAAUUACAGGGAACAUUGUUGUCAUCUAUCCCUAACUGUACAUUUAUCUAUGUUUAUUAUCUUAGAAUGAACAGUAUGGACAAAAUGUUUAUACUGUAACAUUCUUUUUAUACUUAGACUGUAUACAGUGCACUUUAUUGCAUCUUUAGCACUUUUGGUUAGAUUCAAAACUGCAUUUUGUUGUCUUAGAAUGUGUUGUCUGACAUUAAAGUUAAAUCUAAAGUGUGAAAAAAAGUUGCCUUAAAUUCAAAUGUCUUUUUAAAAAUAAUUAUUUUUAAAAAAGGGGAAAAAACAACUCCUCAUUUGCUUAAGUGCUUCUGUAGAAGGUAACCGGACUUCCUUAUUAGGUUUCAAGAACCAAAGAUGUUGCCUUCUGAGGAAGCUCUUAAGAUUAUAAUGACUUGGAUGACUGAGAGUUCAACUUGCUGUGCUGAUAAAGAAUCUACAUGUUUACUUUUCAUUCAAAAUAAAUGCAAAACAUUUCUGGGAUGCAUCUGAUUUAGCUCUAAUGUUGCGUCACAGACCAUCUUAUGCUGUCUAACCCUCUGGAGCUUUCUUCUGCUUGGCAUCAAACUCCUUUCACUCUCCAGUACUGGCCUCAGAUUCUCCUGUUUCAUGUAAUGCAGGCCAUUGGCCCCGACAGAGGCAGGCCUUAGAUAACACAAACUGGUCAUUUCCCAAGAAGAUUGUGGGCUAGCUGACGUCAGAGGGUCAACCCGGGCAGUGGAGCUCAUUUUAGAUACAAAUUCAGACACAGAAAAAGUAACUUGGUCAACAGGAACUGCUGUUAUGAGCCAGGACUUGUUUUUUUCCCUCUUAAGUUGCAUAAAACUUGAAUUUUUUUUUGCCUUUUCCAACAUCA